rnacentral:rRNA from 1 species
AACACUAUAAGACUGGGAUAACUUCGGGAAACCGGAGCUAAUACCGGAUAAUAUAUUGAACCGCAUGGUUCAAUAGUGAAAGACGGUUUGCUGUCACUUAUAGAUGGAUCCGCGCCGCAUUAGCUAGUUGGUAAGGUAACAGCUUACCAAGGCAACGAUGCGUAGCCGACCUGAGAGGGUGAUCGGCCACACUGGAACUGAGACACGGUCCAG